GUGAAAGCGAGUAUCCGUCCCGGGGUUAUUUGGAAUUACUGCGGGCGAAGUGAUUACGUCCUGAAUAAGUGUAGCGUUUGUGAAUUGAGAUUCCUGCGAAGUUAGCGUACGACAAUAUGGCUAGGAAGCCUCUCCGAGACCCUUCAGUGGCCGAGAUAUGACCAGUACUCGCUCGAUCGUCACUACAGUAAGGUAAGAU